GACGAACGCUGGCGGCGUGCUUAACACAUGCAAGUCGAACGGUGAAGCUCCAGCUUGCUGGAGUGGAUCAGUGGCGAACGGGUGAGUAACACGUGAGCAACCUGCCCCUGACUCUGGAAUAAGCGCUGGAAACGGCGUCUAAUACUGGAUACGAGAAGGGUCCGCAUGGGCACUUUCUGGAAAGUUUUUCGGUUGGGGAUGGGCUCGCGGCCUAUCAGCUUGUUGGUGAGGUAAUGGCUCACCAAGGCGACGACGGGUAGCCGGCCUGAGAGGGCGACCGGCCACACUGGGACUGAGACACGGCCCAGACUCCUACGGGAGGCAGCAGUGGGGAAUAUUGCACAAUGGGCGGAAGCCUGAUGCAGCGACGCCGCGUGCGGGAUGACGGCCUUCGGGUUGUAAACCUCUUUCAGCAGGGAAGAAGCGAAAGUGACGGUACCUGCAGAAGAAGCACCGGCUAACUACGUG
rnacentral:rRNA from 1 species